rnacentral:rRNA from 1 species
UACGGAGGAUCCGAGCGUUAUCCGGAUUUAUUGGGUUUAAAGGGUGCGUAGGCGGCCUAUUAAGUCAGGGGUGAAAGACGGUAGCUUAACUAUCGCAGUGCCUUUGAUACUGAUAGGCUUGAAUGUACUUGAGGUAGGCGGAAUGUGACAAGUAGCGGUGAAAUGCAUAGAUAUGUCACGGAACACCAAUUGCGAAGGCAGCUUACUAAAGUAUGAUUGACGCUGAGGCACGAAAGCGUGGGGAUCAAACAGG